rnacentral:lncRNA from 1 species
AUCGUAUUAUGUGCUUUCCUACUCGAGAAUGCGUCGGGCGUCUGGCUAUAGAAGGUAGUAUGGAGAUUCGCCAAUAGUCAAGUAGUCUAUCAGUUUUUGACUGCUAGAAUAUAAACGACUGCAAGAAUACAUCGUAAAUCUAUAUGGAUGCCCUUCGACUGCUUGUCGAAGUCCUUUUUGCCCCAGCCGGUAGGUCUCUAGAUGUUACAGAGAACCCCAAACAACC